CUUGAGGGAGCCCAGCCACAACGGCCGUUCAGGGCUGCGGCCUUGGCCGUACGUGUCCAGCAGCGCCUGCGCCUC
rnacentral:antisense_RNA from 1 species